UACAGAGGUCUCAAGCGUUGUCCGGAUUCAUUGGGCGUAAAGGGUGUGUAGGUGGCGCGGUAAGUCGGGUGUGAAAUCUCGGAGCUUAACUCCGAAACUGCAUUCGAUACUGCCGUGCUUGAGGACUGGAGAGGAGACUGGAAUUUACGGUGUAGCGGUGAAAUGCGUAGAUAUCGUAAGGAAGACCAGUGGCGAAGGCGGGUCUCUGGACAGUUCCUGACGCUGAGGCACGAAGGCCAGGGGAGCAAACGGG
rnacentral:rRNA from 1 species